CCCUGAAUGACAGUAGAGUGUGUAAUUCAAAUUUGCGAACUUUUAACGGAGUAAGUCGGGGUAUGAGGAGUCGCGCAGCAAAAGAUCGAACAUUUUAUGGAUUUUUACGGACUAAAAAAGGUUUGUGAUUGCUAAUUAAAGACGAUGUAUUACGGAUCUCACCGAACUGUGGCACUGCAGCAAAAAUUCAUGUCGCCGUCACACCCACAAACGUCUGUGGCCACUCCUACAUAUUU